rnacentral:lncRNA from 10 species
CCCAUGUACCCUUUGAAAAGUAUACUUUAUUAGUUUGUUAUUAGUUUUUAACAAAUAAAACUCAGAUUUUAUAAUGUCAUAUAUUUCCUCUCUAUUUUUCUCUCUUUUUUUUUUUUUUUGAGACAGAGUCUCACCGUGUCACCCAGGCUGGAGUGCAGUGGCGCAAUCUCAGCCCACUGCAACCUCUGCCUCCCAGAUUCAAGCAAUUCUCUGCCUCAGCCUUCAAGUAGCUGGGAUUACAGGCACCCAUCACCACGCCCAGUUAAUUUUUGUAUUUUUAGUACAGACAGGGUUUCAUCAUCUUUGCCAACCUGGUCUUGAACUCCUGACCUCAUGAUACACACCUCAGCCUCCCAAAGUGCUGGGAUUACAGGCAUAAGCCACCGUGCCUGGCAUCUAUUAUUUCUUUUUGAGAUUUCUUGUUGUCAAUUAGACUUUUAAUUCUCCAACUCUUACAUUUAGUUUUAUAUUUUACAUCUUUUUGCCUCUCUGCUGCACUCUGGGUAUUAAUUAUUUCCAUUCAUUAGUUUGUUCAUUCUCUUCUUACCUUAAUUUUUUAGUAACCCAUUCAUUUAGGUUUUCCUAGUAAUAAUCCUUUUUUUUCCUUGAAGUUCUAUUUGAUUAUUUUUCAAAUUUUCUUGUUCAUUUAUUGUAGAUUCCUGUUGCUUCAUCAUUUUUGUUAUUUUUAUUUCAUAUUUUUAAAUUGUACACAUUUAUUUUAUGUUUUAUAUUUUAAAUCAUUUACAUUCUAGCUUGUUUCCUUGUUGGUUUCAUAAGUUUUAUUGUAAAUGCAAUUUUGAUUGAUUGAAGUCAUGGGGAUCCCUGUAGCCUAAGUGAUGCUCUCAUUCCUUUACUUCUUCUAGGAGGUAUGGGGGGUGCUACUGAAGAGGGGACAUUUUAGGGCCCUUUCAGUGUCCCAGGUUUAGUGAGGGAGGAGGAGUUCUAAAUACAGUUCUCCCAUUUUGCCACUGACUUGCAGCUUAGUCUUUAGAUAGUAGCAUGUAUUGUAUAAUUAUCUUCAGGAUAAUGCCACAUUUGCAUUCAUUACUGUUCCUGCUCAUAUAUUUGCCUUCCAACUCUUUUUGAAAGGAGGGUUGAUAAUUUCCUUUAUUUCCUGCUAGUCAUAAUAUGUAAUAAGAUUCUGUUUCACACAGGGUCUAAUUCCACAUUUAAAAUGGAAGAAGCUCUACCGUCUUAUGAUGAAAAUAAAGAAUAAA